rnacentral:lncRNA from 1 species
AUUACAUCAGAAUAUGACUGUGACCUGGGCCAUCGUGGAGGGAUAUGACAGAGUAUUAGGGACAGGGCCUUGACUCCUUAUGUUUCCUUUAGCCACUCAUGGUUAAUUCCAGGUGUCAAGUUUUCGAGGUGGGUAUUUGGAGCCACAGUAAAGUUCUUAAAGAAGAAGAUAUUUGUUCAUGAUAACCCUGAAUCUUUUCUCCUGUGGACUUCUCCGAACAAGUGUGAGAUUAACGAAAAAAAUCAAUUUGUUCUUCCUAUAGCGUGGAUCAACAACUAAUUUGAAAAGUAAAUCAGCAGGCCUGGUUAGAUGGUUUGUAAAUAACAGCAGUGACGAAGGAUACAAAAGAAACAAAUUGUGCAGGAAACCCUCUUCUAUUCUACCUCUACUUCUGGAAGGAAGGACAAAAGCAAGAAGGAAAGCGGGACCAGCAAAUGUCUCACUGACCAGUACUAAAGCAAUUUGCCCUGUGUUUCCUCUGAACCAGGUACAUAUCUAAAGCUAACUCUCUCCUCUCUGGGGUCUUUGGUAGAUUCUUCAGAAACACCUAGCCUUGAAGAUCUCAACUACAGCUCUGUGGCCUCACAGAAAUGUAACUCCAGCGGAGUUGUGGCAUUUGGUGGCACAUCGCUCAACUCUUUCAGCUGAGGGUGGCUUGCUCGUCCAGGUGACUCUCUCAGACAUUGCUAGGCCUGCUCUCUCUCACACACGAUUCAUAUCUGGUGAAGUGAAAACUCGCACAUUUGGCCUUCCAUCUUGAGAAUGUGAUUGCUUCUCAAAUGCAGCCCUCUCCUCUGCUGCUCCAGAAAUCAGGAGACACAUUUGAUUUUCUCCUUGAGACGAGGCUUGAGAUAAGAGAAAAUUAACCCCUCCACCCUUCAAGGCAUAGAUGGAGGGAACUCACAGAGCCAACACUUCUCUCCAAAGAAAUCUUUUCUCUAAACUCCAGCAUCUUCUUUCUUGGUUUCUUCAAAGUCUUAGAAGAUGGAGAUAGGUGGUCAGUUGCUGAAGCUUCAUAACCAGCUAGAUCUUGGUCAACUGUUC